CUGCAGCUCAAGUGGUGACCGCUAUUAUUGGGCCUAAAGCGUCCGUAGCCGGGCCCGUAAGUCCCUGGCGAAAUCCCACGGCUCAACCGUGGGGCUUGCUGGGGAUACUGCGGGCCUUGGGACCGGGAGAGGCCGGGGGUACCCCUGGGGUAGGGGUGAAAUCCUAUAAUCCCAGGGGGACCGCCAGUGGCGAAGGCGCCCGGCUGGAACGGGUCCGACGGUGAGGGACGAAGGCCAGGGGAGCGAACCGGAUUAGAUACCCGAGUAGUCC
rnacentral:rRNA from 1 species